rnacentral:rRNA from 1 species
AUGCUGCACACUGAGGAGCCUCCGCUUGACGCGGACCACUUCGUCGAAGCAGUGCCAUCAUCAGUGCCGCAGCCGCAGCUGCUGGAGGAGUCCGCGCCGCCGCCGCCGCCACCGCCUCAGCCAGUGGAGAAGGACGAGCGGCCUUUACCCGCCGCCGCGCUUCCUCAAUGGUCCGAAUCGGGCCCGGGUCAAGAUAAGGGAGACAAAGAGACACGGCAAGACAAAAAUCUCUUGUCUCUUCUAGGUGCAGAAGACAAGAGCGACAGUCAGAUCUGUCAAGAACAAAGGUUUAAGGAGAACUUCCUGAACAACAAGAUGGUGUAUGCCCAUACUCAGUGCUGCUCGCGUCAUUUGAAAAUUGAAAAGACUGAUUUUGAUGUGGGUGCGUCUUUAAUUAACCCCAAAAACUGGAUUUGUUUUGUUAAUUCUGUUCUACAAUGCUUGGUUCACACUGUUCCACUUGUGUCCAAGCUUCUGAAAGAUCCUCACCUACAUAAAUGUCCUGAUCAAUUCUGCGGUUACUGCUCCCUACGAAACCAUGCUUUUGAAGCUAUUAGGCUCUCAGGACAUGUCCUGUACCCCACCAACUUUAUCAACUGCCUACAUAUAAUAUCUCAAGAUUUCGUACGGGGCAAGCAGCAAGAUGCACAUGAAUUCCUCAACUGCUUCUUUGAUAAGUUAGGCAAGGCAACUAUUUCUCCCAGAUCUGAACCUCGCGGAUCCAUUGUCCAAGAAGUUUUUGGUGGUGAACUAGAAAGCGAGUUAUCACAUUGCCCAAAGUGCAAUCAUCGUCCCUCAAGCAAGUUGGAACCCUUCUCUGACCUGAGCCUGGAGAUUAAUCAAGCGGGCACUGUCGUGGAUUCACUGUUAUCAUAUACAAAAGCUGAGGCGCUUGAAGAUUACCGUUGUGAAUCAUGCAAUAGUUGCAUGAAGAGGGAAAAGCACCUCAAGGUGAAGAAGGCUCCUGAAGUUCUCAUAAUGCAUCUAAAACGAUUCCAAAGUGCGGGGCACCGUACAUCUAAAAUAACUGACAUGGUGAACUAUCAGUUAGAGUUGGAUUUAGCCCCCUUCAUGAGCUCCCCGGAUGAGCAACCACAAAAUUAUGAUCUGUAUGGAGUCGUCGAGCACGUUGGUUCCGGGAAAGAUUCUGGUCACUACAUGAGUUAUAUCCGUUCAUCAGAUUCUGGUCACUACGCAGGUUUGGGAAAUCACCAAGGAAAAAGCUCUGGACACAAAAGCGUAUCUUUUGUUCUAUGUCAAGCAUGGUUCUUGCCCGUGGUUCUCUACUUUACUUGA